UGCAGUCGAACGAUGAACCACCUUCGGGUGGGGAUUAGUGGCGAACGGGUGAGUAACACGUGGGCAAUCUGCCCUGCACUCUGGGACAAGCCCUGGAAACGGGGUCUAAUACCGGAUACUGAUCCUCGUAGGCAUCUGCGAGGUUCGAAAGCUCCGGCGGUGCAGGAUGAGCCCGCGGCCUAUCAGCUUGUUGGUGAGGUAAUGGCUCACCAAGGCGACGACGGGUAGCCGGCCUGAGAGGGCGACCGGCCACACUGGGACUGAGACACGGCCCAGACUCCUACGGGAGGCAGCAGUGGGGAAUAUUGCACAAUGGGCGAAAGCCUGAUGCAGCGACGCCGCGUGAGGGAUGACGGCCUUCGGGUUGUAAACCUCUUUCAGCAGGGAAGAAGCGAAAGUGACGGUACCUGCAGAAGAAGCGCCGGCUAACUACGUGCCAGCA
rnacentral:rRNA from 1 species